rnacentral:rRNA from 1 species
UACGAAGGGGACUAGCGUUAUUCGGAUUUAUUGGGCGUAAAGCGUGCGUAGGCGGCUAUUUAAGUCUGGUGUUAAAGCUAGGGGCUCAACCCCUGUGAUGCACUGGAAACUGGGUAGCUUGAGUGCGGUAGGGGAAGGUGGAAUUCCGAGUGUAGCGGUGAAAUGCGUAGAUAUUCGGAAGAACACCGGUGGCGAAGGCGACCUUCUGGGCCGCAACUGACGCUGAGGCACGAAAGCCUGGGGAGCGAACGGG